rnacentral:lncRNA from 1 species
UUCAGUAAAUCUAGCUGCAGCGCAAUGGUCGUGUUCGCUCCGCGUUGUACGCUGCGCAGCCUUCAGUAAAAAAAAAAACCAUUCUCGAACGGAUGUUUAAAAUAUUAAACAAAUUAAAUAGAUAGUGUGAACAGUAAAUAUUAAAAUGCAAUAAAGUAUGCGGCAGAAGAACAACAGUGGCGUCCCCUCUCUUCGAACUUUAAGGAGACUGACGACUCCCCUUGGACACGGCGGCCCCAGACAGACAGACAGCGGGGCUACACGCCACACCAAAACUUGUGCGACCGCAUUCCAGAAAGUUCAAAUAUCGAAAUGUUGAGGAGCAAAGCGAAGCGAAGAGGAAAGUCUGCUGUGGCAGUGGCGGCGGCAUCGUGGAAAAAUUAAAGUUAAACUCGACUCGUGUCCCUGUAGCUGUACUCGUAUGUGUGUUUUUGUGUGAGUGUGUAGUCUGGAAUGCGGUUCCGUUCCUGUGCGAAGAAUUAAGCCAAAUAGAACUCACGUUUGCGAAAAGCAACAAGAAAAAUGUCUUAAAAACUGGUUUUCAUCCAAAGACUUUGUGUCGUCGUUGGUUCCAUUGACAUCCCAGGAGCCGCUGCCCCUCCUCCUGCUGCUGCUGCUGAUUCUAACCUCUAAGCCAGAGCCAGUCCACAUGGGUAAGCUCUUUGGAAUUUGCCAGCACACACAUCUGUACGUAACAUGUACAUAUGUACUUGUAUGUAUUUGUGUGUGUAUGUACACUGUGAGAGAUGCAGAGAAGCACAAAGCAGAGGCUGGCUGGUUACAAGAUCGACUUGGGAUCGUCUCCAUCUUCGGCUUGGAGCGAGGCCACAGCGAAGUAAAAUAUUUAUUGGCUGAAAUUGGAUGCUGCGCUUCUCUGUCUCUGCCCGUGUGUCAGUGUGUGUCUGUGGCGUCUAUUUAGAAAUUCAAAUUGAAAUUUUUCAAGAGUGAGUCAUACGUACGUUCUCUCGCUCAAUCUCGGAGAGCGUGGGUUGAGCGGCAUACCAGUUUUGUUGCUUUUUUGGUGGACUUAGACUGGAGUUUCGAGCCGAAUUCGAAUACUAACCUUCAUGGGAAUGGGAACGCAGUACGGUCAUAUCACACAUAAAUUGAGCGCGCUCUCUUGAAAAAGUUGCAUCACUCAGCAUAAAACGGAGACGCGAGACAAAAACAACAAGAGUCAACCACCAGCAUAGAAUGCGGCUGCCAGACAGCCGCCGCAACAAAAAAAAACCAGAGCAGCAAAAUCAAGAAAAAGAACAGAGAGAGGGAAGAAGAAAAAACCAGUGGAAGAACCGUUUUACAGUGCAAGGCGGCUGGCAUGGGUGAAGGAGGGCGAAGCAACAGGCGAGCGAAAGACCAAUACAAAAAGGGUGAAAGGGAGUGCAGAAAAUACACUCGAAGAGAAAAAUAGUAGGAUUAUUUUUUUAAGUAUGGUUUAAUAAGUUUGUAAUAACGUAAACUUGUAAACUUGAGAAUCGGAAUGUAAUAAGUGUUGGAGAGUACCAACUCUUUGGACUGGUGUACUUCUUGUAUCCAAACCAGGCCCGCACAUACACUCGCACAGUGAUCCCGUUUGUUUUGCAGCUUGCCUUCACCUUCUUCGUGAAGUGAAGUAAAGAGUAAUGUCAGCAAAAAAGGACAGCAACAGAAUAUUAGAGUCUAUCGUCCGUGGACUCACGCACGCACCCCAGACUGUUUUUGGCCGUCAUUGCGGCGGCAACGCGAUUUCCUCCUUGACUUCAAUUUCGUUUCGUUUGUGAGGGGGAAUUUGCAUACUCAAACUUAAAAGGGGAAACAAAGAGGAGUUGCUGACCGUUUUUCUCUGUUUUUUGUUUUAUUCCACAUCAUAAAUGUCAAUUAAAAAUGAUAUUUGUAUUAUCAAGUUCCGCAGGCCCUGCCCCGCUGACGACGAUUCCAUUCCAUAAAAAUGUGCUAUAAAAAACUAACGGUUAAUGCUACGGUCUGCUGAAGUUCGUGUGUGGCUGGCUGGUAAAAAAAAGAGUAUCAACACAAAAACUAUUCCUCUGUCGUCCGUCGGCGCGGCGCGGUGCGGCGCUGUUUGGUGGUAGCUCAAUAGAAAGUUUGUGUUAAUAAAAAAUUGGAGGCACAAACACACAUACACACACACUCGGAGAAAGACAGCAAAAAGCAGGAGGAGGAACAACAGAGAGAAAAAAUACCUAAAAAACUUAAAAACACAAAAUAUGUAUGUCGAAAUAUAACAACAAAAAAGAGUGAAUGAAAAAAUGUUGACCUAAUUUUAUGCUGCGGCAGAGCAGUGGCAGCAGAAGCAACAGCAUCGCCAUGCCCAGUUGCUCUUGUUUAUUUCACAGCGGACAGCCGACGCUAGCAGAGGAGACAAGACAGCAGCAGCAGCAGCAGAGGCGCAUACUUUCCCACACAGCUUCCCAUUCCCGUUCCCCCCUUUCACAGCCAUUCCCCAUUCGAUUCCAUUCCCAGCAGCGUGUGAUCAUCGCGGGAGCAGCGCCAGGGCUCCCUUCGCACGGCACGGUGCGGUCGAACAGCUGGAACGAUGUCUAAAUAAUGAUUGUUAAAUGGAGAUUGUGUUGUUGCUGUUGGCGCACGGCAUUCCAACACUUAUACAGUUGCAAACAGUGAAAAAGACAGAGAGAGAGAGAGAGAGAGUACAGUGGGGCGCGCCUGCGCAGCAGUUGAGACUAUUUUUAAAGCUGUUAAGGUAAGAAGUGUGGUCCUCCUACUACUACACGAAUUUGAUAAACUUCUGCUCCUACACACAGCUCAUCAUCAUCAUCAUAUCAUGCCCACCCUGCCCUGUGCUUGCAUCACCCUUAGCCCUCCCCUACCUGCAGCUGUCUCAAGUCUGAGAUAUUUACAGUUCCUUCAGCCUCAGCGCCACUAAUUGUGUGCUAUUUCUGUAAGAUCAUUCUUCUUCUCACUCUACCACCACCUCUCACUCUCUUCUGUUUCUCUGCUCGGUUUUAGUUGGCGGCGGCGGCGGCGCGCGUGUGAAAAUAUUUAGGCUACGAAAGGUAUUUUUAUUCAGCCUUUUUUUCUCCCCUCACUCUUGCACGAGCAGCGAGCAUAUCUUUUAAUUUGCGCCUGCUCUUUUUUCGGUUUUUGUUUCUCGUUUAAAGUGUUAACUGGCGGCAUAUAAUUUCGGUCGGGUCGACUUGACAUACAUGGUAAUUAUAGUUAUUAAAUGUGAACCAGAGCCCAGGCACGUGCUUGAAAACUGUGAAAUAUAUUAUGUAUAUGCAUACGUGUAUGUUUGUGUAUGCAAUGGGG